UUUCCGUAGGUGAACCUGCGGAAGGAUCAUAAUUGUAUAACCGAGGUGCGAGGGCUGUCGCUGACCCGAAAGGUCGUGCACGCCCGAGUGCCCUCACACACAUCCAUCUCACCCCUAUGUGCACCACCGCGUGGGUCCCCCUUUGGCUUGUUCGGAGGGGGGCUUACGUUUUCACACAAACUUUGUAUGCAGUGUAGAAUGUAUUUUUUGUUUUUGCGAUCACGCAAUCAAUACAACUUUCAACAACGGAUCUCUUGGCUCUC
rnacentral:misc_RNA from 1 species